rnacentral:rRNA from 1 species
UACGGAGGGUGCAAGCGUUGUUCGGAAUUACUGGGCGUAAAGCGCACGUAGGCGGGUUCGCAAGUCGAUUGUGAAAUCCCCGGGCUUAACCUGGGAAUGGCAUUUGGGACUGCAAGGCUCGAGUGCGGCAGAGGAGACUGGAAUUCCUGGUGUAGCAGUGAAAUGCGUAGAUAUCAGGAGGAACACCGAUGGCGAAGGCAGGUCUCUGGGCUGACACUGACGCUCAUGCACGAAAGCGUGGGGAGCAAACAGG